UAAGGAAUAUUGGUCAAUGGACGCAAGUCUGAACCAGCCAUGCCGCGUGAAGGAUUAAGGCCCUCUGGGUUGUAAACUUCUUUUAUAGGGGAAGAAAUGUGACGGUUCUCCGUCACUUGACGGUACCCUGGGAAUAAGCACCGGCUAACUCCGUGCCAGCAGCCGCGGUAAUACGGAGGGUGCAAGCGUUAUCCGGAAUCACUGGGCGUAAAGCGCGCGUAGGCCGUCUUUUAAGUCGGACGUGAAAGCCCUCGGCUCAACCGGGGAACUGCGUUCGAUACUGGGAGACUUGAGUCCUGGAGAGGGUGGCGGAAUUCCGGGUGUAGGAGUGAAAUCCGUAGAUAUCCGGAGGAACACCGGUGGCGAAGGCGGCCACCUGGACAGGUACUGACGCUGAGGCGCGAAAGCGUGGGGAGCAAACA
rnacentral:rRNA from 1 species